rnacentral:rRNA from 1 species
GAUGAACGCUGGCGGCGUGCCUAAUACAUGCAAGUCGAGCGAACAGACGAGGAGCUUGCUCCUUCGACGUUAGCGGCGGACGGGUGAGUAACACGUAGGUAACCUACCUAUAAGACUGGGAUAACUUCGGGAAACCGGAGCUAAUACCGGAUAAUAUUUCGAACCGCAUGGUUCGAUAGUGAAAGAUGGCUUUGCUAUCACUUAUAGAUGGACCUGCGCCGUAUUAGCUAGUUGGUAAGGUAACGGCUUACCAAGGCAACGAUACGUAGCCGACCUGAGAGUGUGAUCGGCCACACUGGAACUGAGACACGGUCCAGACUCCUACGGGAGGCAGCAGUAGGGAAUCUUCCGCAAUGGGCGAAAGCCUGACGGAGCAACGCCGCGUGAGUGAUGAAGGUCUUCGGAUCGUAAAACUCUGUUAUUAGGGAAGAACAAACGUGUAAGUAACUGUGCACGUCUUGACGGUACCUAAUCAGAAAGCCACGGCUAACUACGUG